UUCUACCCUUGUGAUUAUUUUUCCAUAUGAACUUCAAUAUCAACUUGUCUAGAUCCAAAAACCCAACCAAAAAAACCUACUGUUGUUAUCUCAGUUGGGAUUGCAUUGACUUCAUACGCUAAAUUACCGGAGAAGUGACAUACUGAUGAUAUUGAGGCAUUCUAUCCAAAUGUCUCUGCAUCUGUUCAAGACAUUUUUAUGUUUUUUAGAAAUGUGUUACAGUGUUUUUUUGGUGUGUGUGUUGUUGUUUUUUGUAUCUGAGACAGGGUCUUGCCCUGUCGCCCAAGCUGGAGUGUAAUGGCAUGAAACAGCAUCCUGCAGCCUCAACUUCCUGGGCUCAAGCAACCCUCCUGCCUCAGCCUUCCUAGUAGCUGGGACCACAGGCAUGCACCAUCAUGCCCAGCUAAUUUUUUUUAUUUUUUGUAGAGACAAGGGUCUCACUUUGUUGCCCAGGUUAGUCUCAAACUCCCAGGCUCAAGCGAUCCUCCUGUUUUGGCCUCCCAAAGCAUUGGGAUUACAGGCGUGAACCACAAUUCCUGGCCUACAGUUUUCUUCUUACGGGCUUUGUACAUUUCUUGGUAAGUUUAUUCCUAAGUAUGUUUUAUUGCCAUUGUAAAUGUAGUUAUCUCUGCCCUUAUAGCUUCUGAUUGUAAUUUGUAUGUGUGAAGGCUAUUUAUUUUUGUACAAUUGUCUUCAAAUUUUUAAUAUGUAUUUUAAAUUGCUUUGCCAAAGAUAUCAACACUUAAUCCCCAUUAGCAUUAUAGGAAAAUUUAUUAUCUUACUGGACCUUUUCAUUUUUGAAGCAGAUUAAUUUGGAAACUUUUACAAAUUGAUGAGCAAAAUUAUUUGUUUCCAUUUGAAUUGAUUUAAUAACUGAAAAAGUUAUUUUUCAUGUUUUUAUCACUUAUAAACCUUGUAUAAAUUAUCUUUAAUUUCUCUUUUCCGCUUUUCUGUUUCAGCCUCCUGGUAUUUUUAAGGAAAUGUAAGAGUGUGAAUCAGGUACUGAUGGUUUUGACUUCAUUAUGAUCAGCAUCUUUGAGUUCCAUCAGAGUAGACACUGAACGUUUUCAUCCAACUGGAUGAUGAGUGCAUUAGAACUACAUAAGAGAUGAAAUCCUUUCUCCCUGGGACAUAAAAAUAAUCAACAUCUUCACAACAACGGCUGUUCCUCUAGAGCCUCCCAUGAGACCGGAACCAUCACAACUGCACUGCUGCUUAUGAUUUGCUUCGUUGUAUUUAAUGUGAACAACUCGUGCCACAGCAUUUACCUAAGUAUGGUGAAGAAAAGGGAUCAGUUGUGGACCGUCUCAGACUUGAUUUCCUCAUGUUACCCCAUUUUUUGGUCCAUUUUUGCUCAUUGGUAGAGAAAGUCAUAUCCUGAAUUCAAAAUCUAUGAAGUGGAGAAAGUCGUCUUAUCCCAUAGAUAUGUCAAAGUAAACUUUCACCAAUAUAAACUUCUUCCAAAACAACAUUCUAUAAAGAGUUGGUAUUCUGAAGAAAUGAUGGGAUUUAGGUCUGAAAAAUGAGAUAUUUCUCAGUUCACUGCAUGAAAUAUAAUCUAAUGACCUUUACCUUCAGUAAAGACAAUAUUGCAUAGCUUAGUAUUUAAUGUUUGUAUACAUAGAUAU